AAAGCUUUAAUGUUCUUAAGUGGAGAGGUGUUGGAGAAGCUGGUGCAAUGUUCUCUUUGGAAACAAUUUCGACCUCCAUUUUGUUCAUAUCUUCGGUAGCUUCUUUCCCAGUGGACUCAGAAAGCAUGCCACUGCAUGAUGAGGCAGAUUAAUUAGUAAACCAAAGUUACUACAGAUUGCUGCACAACAUAUUCAUAUUUUUGCAUACUAUUGUAGACAAAACUCA
rnacentral:lncRNA from 1 species